rnacentral:rRNA from 1 species
UACGUAGGGUCCAAGCGUUAUCCGGAAUCACUGGGCGUAAAGCGUGCGUAGGCGGUUUGUUAAGUGAGAUGUGAAAUCGUGUGGCUCAACCAUAUCGUUGUGUCUCAUACUGGCAAACUAGAGGAUAGCAGAGGCAAGUGGAAUUACGAGUGUAGCAGUGAAAUGCGUAGAGAUUCGUAGGAACACCAAUGGCGAAGGCAGCUUGCUGGGCUAUUUCUGACGCUCAGGCACGAAAGCGUGGGGAGCAAACAGG